rnacentral:rRNA from 1 species
UUGACGGGACCGCACAAGCGGUGGAUGAUGUGGUUAAUUCGAUGCAACGCGAAAACCUUACCACCUUUGACAUGGCAGGAAUCCUGAAGAGAUUUGGGAGUGCUCGAAAGAGAACCUGCACACAGGUGCUGCAUGGCUGUCGUCAGCUCGUGUCGUGAGAUGUUGGGCUAAGUCCCGCAACGAGCGCAACCCUUGCCAUUAGUUGCUACGAAAGGGCACUCUAAUGGGACUGCCGGUGACAAACCGGAGGAAGGUGGGGAUGACGUCAAGUCCUCAUGGCCCUUAUAGGUGGGGCUACACACGUCAUACAAUGGCCGGUACAGAGGGUAGCCAACCCGCGAGGGGGAGCCAAUCCCACAAAGCCGGUCGUAGUCCGGAUCGCAGUCUGCAACUCGACUGCGUGAAGUCGGAAUCGCUAGUAAUCGCGGAUCAGCAUGUCGCGGUGAAUACGUUCCCGGGUCUU